UACGUAGAGUGCAGGCGUUAAUCGGAAUUACUGGGCGUAAAGCGUGCGCAGGCGGUUUCUUAAGUCAGAUGUGAAAGCCCCGGGCUUAACCUGGGAACUGCGUUUGAAACUGGGAGACUUGAGUGUGGCAGAGGGGGGUGGAAUUCCACGUGUAGCAGUGAAAUGCGUAGAUAUGUGGAGGAACACCGAUGGCGAAGGCAGCCCCCUGGGUUAACACUGACGCUCAUGCACGAAAGCGUGGGGAGCAAACAGG
rnacentral:rRNA from 1 species